ACACUGAAGAAAAUACCUGGACUAACGGCGCACAGCUAAUUUAUGAUAAAAUAAGGGGGUGGAGGGGAGAAGUAGCAUGUUUUCCUUUUCGUUUACGUCAAAGGACAUAGGAACAUAUGUCACUCUUCAAAAGAGGAAACACAAGAGAUCAUGUCAUUUUAGUUUAACACAUAUCCACAGUCAGAACAAUUAUUGAAGUUUAAAAUAUUAGUUACAUUUUCAAAUUAAGAAGAUUCACCAAUAAAUAAAAAGGCCGUAAGUUUUCUUUAAAAAAAUUAUUUAAUAUUUACAUGUAAGGAUGAAAUAAUAUAAGAGUGGAAGGAGGAAAAAAAACGUUAAAUGUCAGCUAUAAGACAAUACCUUCCAACAAGGUUGCUACACAAGCUUUCUCCUCAGUUUUCAGAUUUCACAUGACCAACUAUAUAUA